rnacentral:rRNA from 1 species
AUUGAACGCUGGCGGCAGGCCUAACACAUGCAAGUCGAGCGGAUGAAGGGAGCUUGCUCCUGGAUUCAGCGGCGGACGGGUGAGUAAUGCCUAGGAAUCUGCCUGGUAGUGGGGGAUAACGUCCGGAAACGGGCGCUAAUACCGCAUACGUCCUGAGGGAGAAAGUGGGGGAUCUUCGGACCUCACGCUAUCAGAUGAGCCUAGGUCGGAUUAGCUAGUUGGUGGGGUAAAGGCCUACCAAGGCGACGAUCCGUAACUGGUCUGAGAGGAUGAUCAGUCACACGGGAAGUGAGACACGGUCCAGACUCCUACGGGAGGCAGCAGUGGGGAAUAUUGGACAGUGGGCGAAAGCCUGAUCCAGCCAUGCCGCGUGUGUGAAGAAGGUCUUCGGAUUGUAAAGCACUUUAAGUUGGGAGGAAGGGCAGUAAGUUAAGACCUUGCUGUUGUGACGUUACCAACAGAAUAAGCGCCGGCUAACUUCGUG